GUCCGUGGCUUCCUCUGGGUCUGGGAAGAGCAGAGUAAUGUUUCCGGUGCAUCCUGUGGGCCUGCUCCCUCCUGCUCGGUGUCCUUAUCCGGGAGGCUGUCCGAGAAGAAGCUGGUGACUUGACCAUGGACUUUCCAGGCCCUGUGACAGUGGACCUUUGACACACCUGGCCCCAGCCACACCUGCAACAGAUAUUUUUAACAAGCCAGUGCCAGGAAAUGCUUUUCCUUCUGAGCCAAAAGAAAGAAGACAGAUCUACUGAGAGCCUUUGAUUAACUAACUGAGAGAAAAUUCACUCACUUGCUGUCUGGGCAGAACCUGGAACUUGCCUGCUGAGAGUCAAGGUCAAGCCAGC
rnacentral:lncRNA from 1 species